UAAGAUUAUAAAACGAGACAGUUCAAUAAUGGAAUACAAGUUAUUUCUUAAGUAAUCGAUCAAAGUUUUAACGAUAAACUACUUUAAUCUAAACGUUGAAAACAGGAAAUUACGUAAAACUAAAAAGUAUUAUCAAACUGUUAUGUAUGUUUGCGUGUUGUGAUUCAUCUUGUUAUGAUCGCUAAGAUUUUACCAACGUUGGGCAAGUAAGAAUCUCCUUGUAAUGAAUGAAGUAGAAGAUAAUAGUUCAGAUAAUGAAGAAAUGGUGAAUUAUGACAAUGGGAGUGAAGAAUAUGUUAAAAGGAAGGGGAAGAUCCAGGGCUUUUUCAAACGCAUGAAACAAAUCAUCAAAAAGAGACCCCCCAAAAAACA